AAAGGUAUAUUAAAUACAAAAACUAAAUUUUCGGCUGCAUGCCACAGAAGAAGGCUGUGAAGAAGGCUGUGGCAUGCAGCCGAAAAUUUAGUUUUUGUAUUUAAUAUACCUUUUUUUUAA